ACCAAAUCUUCUAUUCAUACAUAAUCACAAUUUCUUUCAAAUUCCUUCUUUCAUACGACCACAAACCUCUCCUCCAGCCCUAAGCCGCCAUCAACGAAGAAUAGAAAGAGACUAAGCCGCCAUGAGAGGAGUACAGAAGAGACUAAGGGCGACGAGAGAAGUACAGAGAGACAAAGGGUGAUAGGAGAAGUACAGAGAGACCAAUAUAUUGGGAUCGCUUCUACCAGCGAUCUGGAUCGCGAACGUAUUGCGUUCUGAGUCGUGCGAUCCGGAUCGCGGUUCGGAAGCAAAGUGAGCGAACCAGGUUUUGAUUAGGAGCUAAAAUUUGUCAAACUUAUGGCUGAAGUAGUACUGAACUACUGAUGGUGCUGUUUUAGUGAUGGGCUUUGUAUUGGUAUUAGUUAAUUGAGUCACUAGUUCAUGGUUCAUGGGAGGCCAUGUUCAAUGCUAUUGAAGAAGUCAGGUAGCAGAUUGGUGAUUUCUUAUUUUCUUUGCAUUACAAUGGAAAGGCAAAGUAGAUCAAGAUGUGGCUUCUUCACAGGUCGAGAAAACUCGUGGCAUUACAAGGGUUGUAGGAACUCAUGCUGUUGUCAAUGCAGCGAAAAAGAGAAUUCCAAUUCGGACGGAUCAUGAACACAACAUUGAAGUUGUUGAGCAUAAUGGGGAAUAGAAGAACUGGAAGUCAAGUUUGCGGCUUAUGCAAAAGCAAAUACAUGUCCUCCUUAUGGUGGUGAUACUGCUGAGAACGACCAAGAAAUGGACCCUGAAGAUGAGGAAAGUGAGGAAAAUCUUGGCUAUAUGCAUUAAGCUUGUUAGGUUUUUUUAAGUUAACUAUUAUUAAGACGUUGUUUAUCUUAUUUUAACACAUGGAUGUUCUUACUUGUAGAAUUUAUUUUUAGUUGGAAGACUUGUGAAACAUAUUUAUGAAAGCGUUUAGUUUUUGUGUUGUUGAAA